rnacentral:rRNA from 1 species
CGUCUGGAAAGUUUUUCGGUCUGGGAUGGACUCGCGGCCUAUCAGCUAGUUGGUGAGGUAAUGGCUCACCAAGGCGACGACGGGUAGCCGGCCUGAGAGGGCGACCGGCCACACUGGGACUGAGACACGGCCCAGACUCCUACGGGAGGCAGCAGUGGGGAAUAUUGCACAAUGGGCGAAAGCCUGAUGCAGCGACGCCGCGUGAGGGAUGACGGCCUUCGGGUUGUAAACCUCUUUCAGCA